ensembl:snRNA U2 U2 spliceosomal RNA
AUAAAUUUAAUAAAAAAUAAAAAAAAUCUGUUCUUAUCAGUUUAAUAUCUGGGGACCAUAUAUUAAAUUGAUUUUUGGAACAGGGAGAUGGAAUAGGGGUUUGGUCCGUCCACUCCACGCAUCGACCUGGUAUUGCAGUACCUCCAAGAACGGUCCACCCCGU